ACGUUAUAUGGGAGCUCAAAAUGGUAUGAAAACAAUUCAGCAACCUAUUUGGUUUCUUCUUUUGUUGUAAAGAUAUGACUGCACAUCAAUGGAGCUAAUAUCAGCAUACAAUUUUAUAAAUACAAGAAGCAAAUUCCAAAGAUUUCAGUCUUUGAAGGCCAUUGUGGAUGAAAAUGAGCAGGAAUAGCACAACCCCUCUCCAAUAGCUCAAUAUUGCAAGAUGGACGUUCGGUGUUCCUUCAACUGCAAAGAAAUGAAGUCUACUCACUGUUCCUUCAUCGAACCAGUCCUAGACCUUCAACUCCCAUGAUAACUAAAGGCACUCCUCAAUUUCUUCUUUUCAUUGUCACAUCCCUGGAAAUCAGGGUCGUGGCAUACGGUGGUUGCUUUGAGGGCCUCUGGGAGUACGCAGUUGCACAGUGAACCUACAAGGAAGACAAAAGUUACAAGAAUUAGUUACUGUAACCAGCACACGAACGAGGGGUAACAAAUAUGAAGGUUACUUAUGCAGUAGCAAGGCAUGCAACUCAAUAAACAUCCUGUUCAACCUCCAUUUUUAUUUUAUUUUGUUUUCAGAAAAGUAGGUGCUCCCUGGUUCUUUGGGUUGGUGCCUGGAUGAUGAAACCCAAGAAAAUAUAAUCUGCAUGUGUAAAUGUUAUAAGGCAAAAACUAAGCAUCAAUUUCUAUUUAGAUGUUAUUACAUUAGAGCUUUCGUGUAAGCCUAAUCAGCCUUAGGCCUUGUUUGGAUUCAGAAAUCAUCUCAACUCAUCUCAUCUAAUCAUUACAAUUUUUUCAAAUUCUUAAAUAAAAUACAAUAAACAAUUUGACUUUUUCAAAUUCCAAAAUAAAAAUAAAGUUAAAAAAUAAUAUUCUAACAAUAUUUUAUUCAUUUUUCAAUUUUCAUCUCAUCUCAUCUCAACUCACUAUCCAAAUCUCUCCAUGAAACAUCAGCAUGAAGGGGGAAAUCCUGAGAGUAAUUUCAA